ensembl:lncRNA
ACUGCCAAGGUGGCCCGGCGGUGCGAGGGUCACCUUUCAGCCCUUACCUCUACCCGCUGAAAUGGAGUAGGGCGGUGAGCGCCGAUCUGCUGGAGAAUCUCGUUAUCCCAUCGGCGCUCUGCCUGCUCCUGGCCUCCAAGCCUCUGAAGUCCCCCGGAUUUCAGCUGCCGGCUACCCCCGAGCCCGUGGUGCCCACGAGUGGCGACUUUACGUCAGCGGCCCUGGGCUGAGAUUUGAGAACGCGACCAAGUGGAGAAUGUUGGAGCCAGAUUUCAAAAUCCUUGACUUCCUUAUUCUUGCUACUUGAUGUAAAUGAGAUACGGCAAAGUCACAGUACCUGUUUUUAUGUUUUUGCCGGAUUCAUAGGGGCUUCUCCGGUGAAGAUGGGCCGAAGUAAAGCUUGUGUUGCUUCUGACGUUCUUACUCAUCCUGUAGCUGCAGCAACUGUGGUCCUUGCAACCUCAUAAAAAUGUUGCCAGCAUUGUUUUGAUAGUGCUGCUUAAUUCUUGGAAGGUUCUUCGGACUUCACAGAUUCCAGCAGUAGCUCUCUCAGCUCCUGCCCUGCACAGUUUUGAAGUGCUGGUGAAGAAAAUCUUCCCCUCAUUCCUGGUGGUCAGAGCUGGAUAAAAUAUCCACCCUUCAACCAAUAUCAGACAAGUGACACAGAUCAGAGUAAACAGAACAUACUGACAGACUGGAUGUGGAGCAUGAGAAGAAAUGGAGAGGACCAAGGAUGACCUGGAUUUCUGGCUUACGCAACUGCGUGGAAGUUGCUGCAGCUCCUGGUGGUGUAACAUCGUUCCAGGCAGGAAGAAAGUAAAUGGUGAGCAACCCCCUGGACCUGAGUGUGUUAGUGCCAACUAUUGGAGGGUGAGGUCCGUUUCUUUCUGGAAGCAAGGAGAAGAGGGAGAAGGAAAAGAAGGAAGAAGGGAGAAAGAAGAAUGAUGAGAAGCCAACCAGCCAGGAAAGCUAGAGGUGGUGAUGUCAUUGAACUCUUAAGUGCAAGAUGAAACAAGUCUUCCUAGCGUUCCAAGUAGGAUGUAAGCUGCCUCGAGGCCCUGAAUUCUCUCCAUUGCUGUGAAACUGAGAAGCUCAGCUGACCUGUUGGCCUCCUGGUCCAUAUCUUGACCUCUAUUUUUCACCUUUUACCUAAAGCCAAGAAUCAGCAACUGCUCCAAGGAAAAAAAUGGGUCUAAGAAGUAGGUUCAUCUCUCCUUGGUUCUCCUUUCUCCAACAUCUUGGCCCCUCAAUUCCUGGUUGUCUCGGUGGCUUUGUGCUGCUUUCAAACUUAUAACUUUGUGUUUUUUCUGACUUUUCUCAUUGUUCUUGACAGGGAUUUCAUUGUACUCCUGUGUACUCAACAUAGCCAGGAGUGGAAAUCCUGGCAUGAGUAACAGAAUUUUUCACUCAGCAUUUCUAUGUGGUAUUUACAGUGCUAAGGUCUCUUUUUAAUUAACACAAGACAAUUUUAUUGUCUUGCAAUUAUAAUUUGGAUGAAUAUUGUAUUAUACAUAAUAGUAAACAUGCAUUCUCUAAGUGUAUAAAUAAAGGUUUAGAAAAUUUGUGGAUAGAGUUCAAAAAUAUAAUACACCCUCACACUUAUAAGUCCAAAUCUGUGUUUACAAAAGCAUUCUAGUUACCGAACUAAUUUUAUGAAACUAAUUUUUGUCCAUGAUCCACAUAUAUACUUUUAUUUUGGGUUUUUACUAUUGUUAAAACAAUAUCAUUAUUAACAAGCACGAUUUCUAUUCCAGCAUCACUUUCAAUAAGCAAUGUAGCUCAAUAUGGCAAUGUAGUAUAUUAGUUUAGAUAUAAACCAGUACACAUUAGACGCAUUGAUGUACAAAUUAUUUAUUCAUGCUAUUUUAAAAUGACAGAAUAUAAAUAAUGAAAUAUUUAGUUCAAUCACUGAUUUUUAGUAUAAUAAUUCACUAAAUAUAGCUUGCCUGUAUAAAUGGAGUCUCUUUUAAAGGCUCAUUGACAAAUGUUGAGGUCUCCAGAAAAGUGAUAAUGUUAAAUCAAUCAGAUUUUCAAGCCAGGUGGAUAUGAACCUAGAAUUUGGAGGUAAGACUGAUGGACAAAGAUUAAAUAGCCCUGUGUUAAUCAACUGGUAGCAAAAGCCCUGCUGCCUUUGAAAAAUAUUGAUUGAAGCUGAUUGAUGGAUUUCAUGGAUGGAAGGAGAAACAGAUUAUGGGAACUGGGUAGAUCAACUCAUGAAGCUAGGCUCAUUCAUUAGGGAGAUGUAAAUAAAGUUGUACUAUUUAUACAUGC